rnacentral:rRNA from 1 species
UACAGAGGGUGCAAGCGUUAAUCGGAAUUACUGGGCGUAAAGGGUGCGUAGGUGGUUUGAUAAGUUGGGUGUGAAAGUCCUGGGCUUAACCUGGGGACUGCGCUCAAUACUGUCAAGCUAGAGUACUGUAGAGGAAGGUGGAAUUUCCAGUGUAGCGGUGAAAUGCGUAGAUAUUGGAAGGAACAUCAGUGGCGAAGGCGACUUUCUGGACAGAUACUGACACUGAGGCACGAAAGCGUGGGGAGCAAACAGG